rnacentral:rRNA from 1 species
UAAAAAUACAUUUUAUAUAAGAUUAUCUCGAAUUUAGAAGAGCUAGGGGAUUAUUAAUUUUAAUGUGGAAUAAUUAUUUAAAAUAUUUUCCUUGUUAUUAGACGUUAGUCGGUUUUAAAUAUAUCUAGUUUUCAAAGAAAUUAAUUUAAUUAGGCCUGUUUAAUUAAUUAAUUAUUUGGAUAAUUAAUUAUUGAACAGAGAAAUAUUCAGGGGGAUAAGCUCUUGAUUAAAUUAUCUAAAAAAUUAUGAGUUUGAAAGGUUAAAUAGGAAUAGAAGUUUUCAUUUUUUGUAGUGUGUUAUAUCAAGAUCUUUAAAUAGUUGAUUUGUUUUUUUUUAGAUUUUUUAUUUGAAUGUUGAAUUUAAUUUUAAAUUUUAAGUAAUAAUGAUUAAAUUAGUAUAAUGAGUUGUUUAUAAAUUAUGAAUAGGGAAUUUUAGUCAAGGAAUUCGGCAAAUUUAUUUUCUGCCUGUUUAUUAAAAACAUGUCCUUUAGAUUUAUUAUUUAAGGUCAGGCCUGCCCAAUGAUAAAAUUAAAUGGCCGCGGUAUUUUGACCGUGCAAAGGUAGCAUAAUCAUUAGUUUUUUAAUUGAAAGCUGGAAUGAACGGUCUGACAAGAAAAUUACUGUCUCGGUUAAAUUAUUAGAAUUUUAUUUUUUAGUCAAAAAGCUUAGAUGUUUUUAUGGGACGAGAAGACCCUAUAGAAUUUUAUAAUUUUUUUUUGAUUGGGUUUUUAGUUUAAUUUCCCUAAUUAUGAAAAAUUUAAUUUGUUGGGGUGACAGGAAAAUUUAUUUAACUUUUCUUAAGUUUUUUCACUUAUUUGUGUUUUUGUGAUCCAUUUUUUAUGAUUAUAAGAUUAAAUUACCUUAGGGAUAACAGCGUUAUUAAUUUGGAGAGUUCUUAUUGAUAAAUUAGUUUGCGACCUCGAUGUUGGAUUAAAAUUUAUUUUCGGUGUAGGGGCUGAAAAAUUAAGUCUGUUCGACUUUUAAAAUUUU